UUGUUAAAAUAAGCAGGUUUGUGUUUUUCUUCGGUCGAGGAAAUGAAUAAGAUUACUAUUGGCACCUAGAACCACUAGAUACCACUAAAGCUAAAAUACAAACCAUUAAUUCCUUUCGGAAUGAAUAAGGAAAAAAUAAUUCCUACUUGAUCAAGCUUCAUUGAAAUGUUUUAAUAGGUUGCUGCCAAAGGGACUGGCGUUAUUUUAAGGUGCCUCACGUGAUCUUGUAUUUUGGGCAGAUUGAACUUAACGCACCAGUCCAAAGAGCUUUGUCUUGAAUGGAUUGGAUUAGACAUAAACAAGGAGGUCCAGCGUGUUGCACAAUUCAUUCAGAAUGGUGGCCAUAGAGUAAAGGUGACGAAUGAUGAUGAAAAGGAUGAUGAUGUAACGUCUGUGAUGAUAACGUCUAUGAAGAUGGCACAGAAUAGGGAAAAAGUUCUUUUUCCUUAUUCUGUGAUGAUGAUGAAAGCUGUGCCAUCACCUUUGAUGCAUCUCAUUUUCCUAGAACAAAACAUUUAACUUCUUGUAUACUUUGUGCACGCAGGCUAGCACAUUGUCAACUUUGGCGAAUACCAUGAAAGGGCAAUGUGCUGAAAAAAAGGCCAAUGAAUGAGAAAAUCGAUGAAGAAAGGGAGGAGUUUAAGUUGAAAUGGGGCACCUUAAAAGCUUGCUGAAGGAAGGUUAGGUUGAGUGACCCUAUUGUUUCUUUUGCAAACGAAGAAACUAAAUUCAUUCUUGGCAGUCACUGAUCUAAACAAAUACUUUUUUUAGAUCAGUGUUGGCAGUACAGGAAUCAUGAAUACUAAUUUUUAGCCACCUCACUGGUUAUUAGUUCAAGAGCCUCGUUUUGAUAUGGAGAUAAGAGUUUUGAUAAAAACGUUUCGUUUGUUAUGUAAGCAUACAUUCUCCGUGAACAAGGUCUCUUUUACUUAAUAGCCACGACAAGGCACUUCAAGUCCAUUUUGUCUUCAAGCAUUGUUGCAUUUUACACUUUUUAGCAACGACGCAAGUCCUGCCAGAAAAAUGGCGCAUGCGUAAACAUAUAUUUCAUUAAAAUUGUUCUAAUUAUUCGCCCUCUACCUCCACCCUAAAACAGAUGCUGCGACACUGCACUUUCCCAAUAGAAUCUUAGGAAAAAAGGUCAAGGGGGGGGGGGCACAGAAAUCUUAUUUUUUCCUCGAUUAAACCAUUGAACCCAAGGCCUCCUUCGAACGAUCCUCCGUCUUUUGACCACAGAAUGUGACACUCCUGGCUGUAAGGCUCCUCGCAAGCUAAAAAUUCCUUCAAAAACCGAAAAUAAGUGCUCGAGAUACGUAAGCGAAAUUCCCAAAUCCCACAGAAUUCGAAAGUGCCACAUAAAGACAGCUAUGUCUGGAAUCUGAUGAUAGGGGAAGGGGGGAUGGGUGGGGGGAUUUAAGUUGACUGAAACAUAGAUUGAACAUUAAAAACAUUCCUCGUACAAGAGAGGUCUGAGCCACUUGUACAAGGACACCUGAACUUGAAGGGAAAUAAGCUGUGGGUGUGCCCGCUGAUCUAAAAGCGGACUAGCUUCCUCUUAGAUCAAUGAGAUUUAAACAAAUAAAGUAGUGUAUAAGGGACUUAUUUCAAAUUUGAUAAAGGCAAGGCGUGGAUUGGUGACUCAAACAAACAAAAUGUUGCCAGUCACUGGUGACUGGAGUUUCAAAAUGGAACAAAACAUUGUGUAGAUAGCAGAAAACCACGAAAAGGUCGAGGUGUUUGGGCGUCAUUGGUACGUCAUUCGCAGGCUUGAUUCAAAAGAAAAGCACAGAUUAACUGGAUCUUAACUGAAGUUAGAUAGACUUCAUUUUCAGUUUAACAAUUGUGGCCUGACCCGUAACAAAAUCUUAAAUGCGUUGGCUGAAUUUAUGCUUCAAUCAACAACAUGAAAAAGGAACAUUGUGGUUAGUUAUGAAUGUCAAAGAGCAGUGUUGAGUGACCAGAAGUGACGAGUGUCACAAUCGCAAGAAACCACGAAUCGGGAAGAAUCCUAGAUAAUCUUAGACCGAGGAUUUAUACUGUUGGAUUAAAUUGAUGGAAACUUGACCAAGAUUCUGUGGAAUGGGUAAUUUAUGUUGUCAAGUUUUAUAAUCAAAGCGUGAAUGUAGUCACCAUUUAUGAGUCAACAUACCUCAUAUGCAACAGCUGUACAUAGAAGCCAUGCAUAACAGGGAGUAAGAAAAUGAGAAGAAAGAGGGGUGCCACAUCAAAGAGCUGGAGUAAAAUACGGACUACAGAAAAAAUGGACUCGUAAAUCAAUGAGACAGCUAGUAACAAAGGAACCAAUAAUAAUUCACCUUACGUCACCCGUGUCGGUCUCCCAAGUGCAUGCGGAGAAAUCAAGACAUUUGACGGCAACGCUACUGGAUGUAGAUACGAAACCAGUUGCUCCUAAAAAAGCCAAGUUAGGACACUUAGUAAACAAUGGGAGAAAACUACAAUA